AAGCAUUUUGAAAGUUAUUUGAGUUGAGUUAUGAGAGUACAAAUGCUUUUUUUCUUUCUAUCAAAUAAAAUGACAAUUUCUACAAGGCGUAGGCCUCCCAAAAGGUAAUGAAGGUGUGCAAAGGUUUCCUUGAGUUGGACAGAGAUUGGCCUCGAGUGCAAAGGUAGAAAGGAGAUUUGACUACAAGAUCUACCCAUUGAGCAGGGACGAAAGUCGACCUCAGUGAUUCAACGAUGUUGAGUGCAAGAGUUGUCACUCAACAAAUAAAAGUUACUCUAGGGAUAACAGGCUGAUCUUCUCCAAGAGCUCACAUCGACGAGAAGGUUUGUCGCCUUGAUGUUGGCUCUUUGCCACCUGGGGCUAUAGUAUGUCCCAAGGGUUGGAUUGUUCACCCAUUAAAGCAGCAUGUGAGCUAGGUUUAAAAUGUUAUGAGACAAUUCAGUCCAUAUUUGGUGUGGACGUUAGAGCAUUGAAAGGACCUUUCCCUAGUAUGAGAGGAUUGGGAAGGACGCACCUUUGUUGUACCAGCUAUCAUGCCCAUGGUAGACUUUGGGUAGCCAAGUGCGGAGUGGAUAAUUGUUGAAAACAUAGUAAGCCUACCCUAAGAUGAGUGCUCUUUUAUUCUGAGUUCCCUAAAGCCUCCGAUAGCACAGUCGAGACAGUAAGGGGUUCUCUAUCCCUGCAGGGAUCGAGUGAUAAAAUUUUUGAGAAUUCAAGAAAAGGUCACGAUGAGACGAGCCGUUUAUCAUUAUGAUAGAUGUCAAGUGGAAGUGCAGUGAUGUGUAUAGCUGAGGCAUCUUAAUAAACCAA
rnacentral:ncRNA from 1 species